rnacentral:ncRNA from 1 species
GGCUGGAGCAGGUCCCAAGGGUUCGGCUGUUCGCCGAUUAAAGUGGUACGUGAGCUGGGUUUAAAACGUCGUGAGACAGUUUGGUCCCUAUCUUCCGUGGGCGCAGGAGAUUUGAGGGGAGCUGCCCCUAGUACGAGAGGACCGGGGUGGACGAACCAAUGGUGUUCCAGUUGUCGUGCCAUCGGCAUUGCUGGGUAGCUAUGUUCGGACUGGAUAACCGCUGAAAGCAUCUAAGCGGGAAGCCAACCUCAAGAUUAGAUCUCCCGCAAGUAUGGAAACAUACUUCCUGAAGAUCCCUUGUAGACGACAAGGUUGAUAGGCCGGAUGUGUAAGUGCGGCAACGCACUCAGCUUACCGGUACUAAUCGAUCGUGUGGCUUGGCCAC